UGGCGGACUAGGCCGGGGAGCCAGGCGUUCCCUGUCAUCUGAAAUCGCCUCCACGCAGAGGCCGAAGUCAAUCGAGCGGCAUCACCGCCACAGUGUUGGCCCCAAUGCUGGCGCCGAAGCCUUGUCCUGCAGGGCCGAUGGCAACACACCCCAGUCCGAAGGGACUUCCGGCGUGUUUUUAUCAGUCGAACCCCGUCAGGCCCGGAAGGGAGCAGCGGUAGGCCGAACACUCG
rnacentral:SRP_RNA from 1 species